CCCUGCGGAUGCUAACGCAAUG
rnacentral:siRNA from 1 species